GGUUAUAGCUCAGUGGCAGAGCACUUGCCUAGCAUGUCUGAGGUACUGGGUUCAAUUUUCAGCACCA
rnacentral:tRNA from 1 species